rnacentral:rRNA from 1 species
CCUUUGACGUUAGCGGCGGACGGGUGAGUAACACGUGGGUAACCUACCUAUAAGACUGGGAUAACUUAGGGAAACCGGAGCUAAUACCGGAUAAUAUUUCGAACCGCAUGGUUCGAUAGUGAAAGGUGGUUUUGCUAUCACUUAUAGAUGGACCCGCGCCGUAUUAGCUAGUUGGUAAGGUAACGGCUUACCAAGGCGACGAUACGUAGCCGACCUGAGAGGGUGAUCGGCCACACUGGAACUGAGACACGGUCCAGACUCCUACGGGAGGCAGCAGUG